GACGAACGCUGGCGGCGCGCCUAACACAUGCAAGUCGAACGAGAGAGAGGGAGCUUGCUUCCUCAAUCGAGUGGCGAACGGGUGAGUAACGCGUGAGGAACCUGCCUCAAAGAGGGGGACAACAGUUGGAAACGACUGCUAAUACCGCAUAAGCCCACAGGUCGGCAUCGACCAGAGGGAAAAGGAGCAAUCCGCUUUGAGAUGGCCUCGCGUCCGAUUAGCUAGUUGGUGAGGUAACGGCCCACCAAGGCGACGAUCGGUAGCCGGACUGAGAGGUUGAACGGCCACAUUGGGACUGAGACACGGCCCAGACUCCUACGGGAGGCAGCAGUGGGGAAUAUUGCACAAUGGGGGGAACCCUGAUGCAGCGACGCCGCGUGGAGGAAGAAGGUCUUCGGAUUGUAAACUCCUGUUGUUGAGGAAGAUAAUGACGGUACUC
rnacentral:rRNA from 1 species